AAGACCUUGCGCUUUUGGAGCGGCCGAUGCCUGAUUAGCUUGUUGGUAAGGUAAAAGCUUACCAAGGCUUCGAUCAGUAGCUUGUCUGAGAGGACGGCCAGCCACACUGGGACUGAGACACGGCCCAGACUCCUACGGGAGGCAGCAGUGGGGAAUUUUGGACAAUGGGGGCAACCCUGAUCCAGCCAUGCCGCGUGAGUGAAGAAGGCCUUCGGGUUGUAAAGCUCUUUCAGCCGGAACGAAACGGUUACGGUUAAUACCCGUGACUACUGACGGUGCCGGAAGAAGAAGCACCGGCUAACUACGUGCCAGCAGCCGCGGUAAUACGUAGGGUGCGAGCGUUAAUCGGAAUUACUGGGCGUAAAGCGUGCGCAGGUGGUUUUGUAAGUCAGAUGUGAAAUCCCCGGGCUUAACCUGGGAACU
rnacentral:rRNA from 1 species